AUGGACUGCAGCCUGCCAGGCUCCUCCGUCCAUGGGGUUCUCCAGGCAAGAAUACUGGAGUGGGUUGCCAUUUCCUUCUCCAGGGGAUCUUCGGGAACCAGGGAUCAAACACAGAUCUCCUGCAUUGCAGGCAGAUUCUUUACCAUCUGAGCCACCUGGGAAGGCCGCCCUUCUACCCCUAGGGGGCAGCAAUUGCUCUGUCUAUGGCAAGACACCAGGGGAUGGAGAUUCAGCCUGGUUCUGGAAUCUUUUGGUCAGCUCAUGGCUCCUCUUAAAGCUAAAAGGAAAAUCGAUCAGCCAAGGUGCUGCCCUGGCAGCGGUUACAAACUGGAACAAAACAGCUCAACACUGCAGCGUCAAUGCAGCCACACGACCCUCGUGCGAUUGUUGGCAGUGCUGUGAAAUUCUUAUUGUUGUGCGGUCACCAACAACUGCAGGGAGGGUUGGAUGCAUCAUAAAAAUCUUUUUUUUUUGUAAGCUAGCUUGUUAUUUCCACAUUCAUUCAUUGGUACUGUAAAUAUUUGUAAGAGCACUUCCUUGCCAGGCCUUGUUUAGCACUGGCAAAGCAGUGGAGAAGAAGGCAUUCAUGGCCUGACUUCAUGGAGCUUCCUGUCUAGUGGGAAGACAAACAAGAUGCAGGCGCUUCCAGUAGAAGGGGACAGGGGAGUGAGCGCAGGGCUUGUAGUAGAGGCAUCACCGAGAACUGAGGAGAGCAACCUUUGCAGAAGUGAUGACUUUGAAAGCCCUUGAAAGCUGAGAGGCUGCGUGGGCAGAAAGGAAGAGUAAGGGGAGGGGGUAGUUCAGGCUGAGAGCACUGUGUCAGGCGGCUCAAGUUGAGUUAAUUUGAAGAGAAAUAAAAGUUUCUUUCCUAAACUGGAGCUCAGAUACGAGUGGGUGAGAGGUGAGCCAGCCCAGGAAAGACAGGCUGGGGCCAUGAAACACUCAAGGACUUCAUCCCAAGGGCACUGAGUAAACACUGAACAUUUCUUGUCCUUUAUCAAGUGGACUCACAUCACCAAAUGGCCCAAAAAGAGGCUCAAGUAGAAAUGCUAAGAAUGAAAAAAAAAGAGACUUGAAGCUAACUGUAGUCUCAGACACUGUUGUCAACAUCAGAAUGCAGAGACUGUUGGGGCAGAAGACCUCUGGAAGACACAGGGGCUAGAAGGCAAAUCAAGCCCUGAAGGAAUGAUGCCCAGCACCCCCUUCUGAGAGGCCUCGGGUGCCCAGCACCCCCUUCUGGGGGGCCUCGGGCUCCACCCCAGCAUCCCCAUCUGGGAGGGCUCGGGGUCUGCCCCAGCACCCCCAUCUGGGAGGGCUCGGGGUCUGUCCCAGCACCCCCAUCUAGAGGGCCUUGGGUGCCCAGCACCCCCAUCUGGGGGGCCUCGGGGUCCGCUCCAGCACCCCCAUCUGGGAGGGCUUGGGGUCUGUCCCAGCACCCCCAUCUAGAGGGCCUUGGGUGCCCAGCACCCCCAUCUGGGGGGCCUCGGGGUCCGCUCCAGCACCCCCAUCUGGGAGGGCUCGGGGUCUGUCCCAGCACCCCCAUCUAGGGGGCCUUGGGUGCCCAGAACCCCCACCUGGGAGGCCUUGGGGUCCGUCCCAGCCUGCUUGGCGAUGCCCAGAGCCUUCUCUCAGGUUCCAGCAAGGGACCCAGAAACCCUGUCCUUCUCAAUCCCACUUCUUGCACUAAAGUUCAGGAAGGCUUGUCCUUGAAUAUUUCUGACCUUGAACAUCAGGCACAAACUAGCUGCCUUCUUAAAGCUCCCCAAAUCUGCCUCUCUCUCAAUUUACUUAUUAAGCCAACUAGGAACUGUGGGAAACAGGAAAGUAAACGGCACCCAUGAGUCUCGGUUCUUUGUAAUCUCUCCUGGAAGAAUAAUUCUGCGAGUUGGGUUCAAGGGAUCCUAUGUAAUCUUUGCGAUCAGGCCAUGGGGCGGGACUGUCCAAACUUUGGAUGCUCAGACAGGUAUCAAGUACCCUGUGACCAAGAGGGGUAGGUGGAGAGGAGGUCUCCUUUUUCUGCCUGAGAGCCAGGGAAGGAGCUGCAGGCAUGGAAUGCAAGGGGCGUACCAGCCCCUCCCUGGGGUGCAGUCCUUUCGGGUUAGCCUUUUUUCCUUGCCUGUGCACCCCUUUUUCUAAUGGAGGUCUACUCUGUCCCAGCACCCCAUCUAGGGGCCUUGGGUGCCCAGAACCCCCACCUGGGAGGCCUUGGGGUCCGUCCCAGCCUGCUUGGCGAUGCCCAGAGCCUUCUCUCAGGUUCCAGCAAGGGACCCAGAAACCCUGUCCUUCUCAAUCCCACUUCUUGCACUAAAGUUCAGGAAGGCUUGUCCUUGAAUAUUUCUGACCUUGAACAUCAGGCACAAACUAGCUGCCUUCUUAAAGCUCCCCAAAUCUGCCUCUCUCUCAAUUUACUUAUUAAGCCAACUAGGAACUGUGGGAAACAGGAAAGUAAACAGCACCCAUGAGUCUCGGUUCUUGUAAUCUCUCCUGGAAGAAUAAUUCUGCGAGUUGGGUUCAAGGGAUCCUAUGUAAUCUUUGCGAUCAGGCCAUGGGGCGGGACUGUCCAAACUUUGGAUGCUCAGACAGGUAUCAAGUACCCUGUGACCAAGAGGGGUAGGUGGAGAGGAGGUCUCCUUUUUCUGCCUGAGAGCCAGGGAAGGAGCUGCAGGCAUGGAAUGCAAGGGGCGUACCAGCCCCUCCCUGGGGUGCAGUCCUUUCGGGUUAGCCUUUUUUCCUUGCCUGUGCACCCCCUUUUUCUAAUGGAGGUCUACUCUGGACCAAACAGUGAUUCAAUCUUGUCCACCCACCCUCCAAUCCCAAGCUGAGUCUGGGAACUUCUUAGCCAACCAGUCACUCCCUCCUUUCCUCCUUAAAGCAUUGAACCUUUGGAAGAUACUCAUCUACAACCAGCAGGUGGCACCAAAAACCCUCUACCCCUCAGCUCAACAACCUUCCUCAACCCUCUCCAAGACUGGUAAACUGUGAUUUAGGACAGGAUUAGAUAUAGGCUCUGAAACGUUAAGCACCAUCAAACUCUGGCCAUGCUGCUUAAGCCUCUUCUGACUCAGUUUUUCCAUCUGUAAAAUGGGGAUGUUACUUUUCGGUCCUGAGGACCCACCAUGAUGCACUUGGUGUCUGGCACACAGACUGCACACGGACGUGCUUCCGUAAGUGUGAGCUAUUCAUCUGACUUACUCAGAGGGAGACCUCCUGAGUUCCCACCAGGGUGGCUGAGGGGUGCCCAGGCCGGAGAGGAAGGUCGAUGCCCGGGAGGCAGCCGGCGCUGGGUAGCGCUGCACAGCCAAUGCCCUUUUAACAUUGCACUGCUAGUGACAGGCGCAGACAGUAGCACAAUGUGAAAAGAGCUCCGGCCCGCAGCAGAGGGGCGCCGGCCCUGCUCCCAGGCCCCUGGCUUCCCCACCCCUUCCUCACCUUCAGCACAGCUCCCCUCCUUUCUCCAGUGUCCCUUCUGUUUCCCUCCACUCCUCCUCCUGUCUUCUUCCUCACCUCCUUCCUAACAUGGAGACCAUCUUUCCCCGGAGGUUUCAGGGCAGAGGGAACAGAGUGCCAGGAAGCAGCCUGGCAUUCCGUCUUCACGGGAAGAUGACUGGGAGACACCCCCGCCCCCAGAUCCGGAGGUGAGGAGAAGCCAGGUUUACCUGGGUUUGUAGGUCUUUUCAGCUUGCCUCCAGAGAGGAGCUGGCUGGCCCAGACCACAGAGCUUCCUCCCCGCUCUAAAGCUCUCUCUCCUUUUUAGUUUAGAUAAAGGGAAGGUCUAGGCCUUCACGGGACAGUCUCGGAUGGGGGCGAACAGGCCGCACAGAGAGACCCCCAGGUCUGCAGGCGGAAGCUGUGGGUGAAGUCCCACCUCUACAGCUCCUCUCCGAGGCCUGCAAAAUCCACUGAGUGGAUUCAGCGUUGAACAAAAUGGUGCGGUUCAUUCCCUCGCCAUUAGAGACAGGCUUUCCUUGGCAGUAGGGUCAGAAUCUGUUUCCUGUUUAUCCAGGGACUCCGGUUAGGGGGUUUUUCAAGCUCACCGGCAUCUUCAGGCAUCUUCAGACGUCCCCAUCCUACCAGGUCUAAGGGGCUUACACCCCCGACAAACAAUCCUGAGACCGACCAAAGGUUCAGAGUCGGGCAGAGAUCUGGGGCAGCAGGCUCCUGGCUAGAGCUGCGGCCCUCGGGGGCCGGGCUGUGGGGUAAUUCCGGGGUGCACCCAUCAGAAAGGCCCCUGGGGGAUGCCCUGUGCCCUCCCCGCUGGGAGCUCUUCCUGGGGGGGAGGGGGUUCCCUCCCACUAGCUCGAAAAGCAAGAGAGCCUGUCCCCUGCCUUUCCAUGCAGUCUGUUCCUGUAAUCGGGGCCCGGGGCCUACAGUUCUAAUGGACGGAGAUCCAGGCUCCG
rnacentral:lncRNA from 1 species